rnacentral:lncRNA from 1 species
CUGAGAUCCUUGAACAGGGAUUUACCCACAUAUUUAUUGACAGUAAGCCAGUGAUAAGCAUUAUUUCUAUAGAUUGUAGAUUAACCAAAAGUAUUCCUUACGGGAAACAAAGGGAUGGGCCGAAAUAAAGGGAUGGGUCUGGCUAGCUAUCUGCAGCAGGAACAUGUCCUUAAGGCACAGAUCCCUCAUGCUAUUGUUUGUGGUUUAAGAAUGCCUUUAAGCGGUUUUCCAGUUUUCCGCCCUGGGUGGGCCAGGUGUUCUUUGCCCUCAUUCCGGUAAACCGACAACCUUCCAGCGUGGGCAUCAUGGCUAUUACGAGCAUGUCACAGUGCUGCAGAGAUUUUGUUUAUGGCCAGUUUUGGGGCCAGUUUAUGGCCAGAUUGGGGGCCUGUUCCCAACGAGUAAGUAAAAAUAAAAACAAAACAACUGAUAGGAGGAAUGAGUUCUAGUGUUCUAUCAGCACUGUAGGAUGACUACAGUUAAAUUAACUUAUUGUAUAUUUUAAAAUGGCUAGAAGGGGCUGUGUGCAGUGGCUCACACCUGUAAUCUCAACACUUUGGGUGGCUGAGGCAAGUGGAUCACCUGAGGUCAGGAGUUCGAGGCCAGCCUGGUCAACAUGGUAAAACCCUGUCUCUACUAAAAAUACAAAAAAUUAGCUGGGUGUGGUGGUGGGUGCUUGUAAUCCCAGCUACUUCGGAGGCUAAGGCAUGAGAAUUACUUGAACCCAGGAGACAGGGAUUGCAGUGAGCCAAGAUCGCACUACUGCAUUCCAGCCUGGGUGACAGAGUGAGACUCCAUCUCAAAAAAAGUAAAAUAAAUAAAUAAAUAAAAUAAAAAUAAAACAGCUAGAAGAGAGGAUUUUGAAUAUUUCCAACACAAAAAAAUGAUAAAUGUUUGAGGUGAAUAUACUAAUUACCCUGAAUUGAUCAUUAUAAAAUUAUAAAUUGAUAAUUUAUAAUCAAUCAAUUUAUAUAAAUUCAAUCAAUCAAUUGAAUUUAUAAUCAAAAAUCACUGUACACCCCACAAAUCUGUACAAUUAUGUGUCAGUUAAAAAAAUAAAAAGGAAAAAUAGCAAUAAUUACAUGGGCAAAUAGAGCUUGAUAGGGCUGUAAAAAAAUCUGAUCUUCAGAGGAAUGUAAAACUAAUAUACACAAAGGCAUCAUUAACCAAUAAUAAUGAGUGGAAAUAGGAAACCUCUAAUUUUGAUGCCCAGGACUAACUUCUUCUGACAAUAGGAAAGUUUUUGUAGUUUCUGCAGGACUUGGAGCCACAAGACCUGAGUCUAAGUCCUGGCUUAGCAGCUCUCUCAGCACUUUAUCUUUCUCAGCUUCAAUUUAUAUCUAUUACUUGGGGGCUGCCAUGAUUCUACGAGAUGGCAUGUGUUGAAGUGUUUUAUAAAACAUGAAGCCGGCCGGGCACGGUGGCUCACACCUGUAAUCCCAGCACUUUGGGAGGCCGAGGUGGAUGGAUCACAAGGUCAGGAGAUCAAGACCAUCCUGGCUAACACAGUGAAACCUCGUCUCUGCUAAAAAUACAAAAAAUUAGCCGGGUGUGGUGGCGGGUACCUGUAGUCCCAGCCAUUCGGGAGGCUGAGGCAGGAGAAUGGCGUGAACCCGAGAGGCGGAGCUUGCAGGGAGCCGAGAUCGUGCCACUGCACUCCAGCCUGGGGGACAGAGUGAGACUCUGUCUCAAAAAAAAAAAAAAAAAAAAGAAAAGAAAGAAAACAUGAAGCACCCUCACUCCGCAGUGUUUUUAAAAAUUGCUUUAAAAUCAUGCAAGGAACAGCAACUAGGAAGUCAGAGGCCCAGAGUUUAGUACUGCUUUGCUACUCCCUAACCUCAGAGACCUCAGAAAAAUCUUCUAACCAUACCAGGCCUGUUUCUUUGUCAUAAAAACCUCCAGGUUAAACCAGAAUAUCUCUAAAUUUCCUUUCAACAUGAGGCAUUUUAUAGUGUCAUGAAUUCAAAUUGUUUGCAAAGAAAACACUAUGACAUCUAGUUCCAAGAACACAGAAGGUGGCAUGAGUUUGAACUAGGAGGUCAGUAGAGGGAUAAAAGAGAUGGUCAUAGUGGAGGAACUGGGGUUAUCCUCCCAGAAGAGGCUGAUGCGAGCUAUAGAACAAGAGGUCUGUGUGGCAGGAUGCCUAGUAAGAAGGUUGGGAUGGGUUCAUGGCUUUGGGGUAAAAGGUUGCAGGAAUUUGGGAGCUGAAUGAACAGGGAUUAUUAGGCGUUUGCGGAGGUGCAAUGUUGUCCUGUGGGUAGCAUAUAAUGCUGCAGGGAUUUUGGUGGUCAGCAAUGCAGGGGUGAAAGUGGCAGGAGGAGGGAGUGAAUGACAAUGACAGUGAAGACAAAGACUACCUUCUAACCUUUUCUCUCUCUUGAAUCCACUGGGCAGUGAGAGUGAUCAAGUUAAAGUGUAAAUCCCAUGACUUCUCUCCCCUGCUUAAAAUCUUUUCAUGGCUUUCCUUGUAUUGAGAUUAUGCAAAUUCCUUAUCAUUGGCUUUCAGGUCCCCAAGGGAUUUGGCACUUGCCUAUCUCUCCAACCACCUCCAACCCUCUGUUUCCAUUCCACCUCUUCCUGAAUUCCAGCAACACUGAGCAGCUUGAAGUCACCAAGCAUUGCAGACUGGGCAUUUAAAUGCUUUGGAUUGUGUG